rnacentral:rRNA from 1 species
AUGGAUGUUAAAACAGCAUUCUUAAAUGGAAUGUUGGAAGAAGAAAUAUACAUGAACCAACCUGAAGGUUUUGUGGAAAGGGGGAAUGAAGGGAAGGUCUGUAAAUUAAACAAGUCCAUAUAUGGUCUUAAACAAGCCUCACGCCAGUGGUAUAUUCUUUUCGAUAAUGCAAUCACGUCAUAUGGUUUUUCAAUGACGGAAGGCGACCAUUCUAUCUAUUUUAGGAUUAUGGGAAAUAAAUUUGUAUUGUUAUCUCUUUAUGUUGAUGAUAUUCUCAUUGCUUCAAAUGAUAAAUCUACACUGAUGGAAGUUAAAACCUGGUUAUCCUCUAAAUUUGACAUGAAGGAUAUGGGGGAAGCUUCCUAUGUUCUAGGAGUGGAAAUACGUAGAGAUAGAAGGAAGAGAAUGUUGGGUUUGUCUCAAAAGGCAUAUCUCAAUAAUGUACUUCAGAGAUUCUCUAUGGAAAAUUGCAAGCCUGUUAAAGUACCUAUUCUUAGGGGAACUAAACUUAGUGAGGAAAUGUGUGCUAAAACUCCUGAGGAAAGGAAACAAAUGAGCAAUAUUCCUUAUUCAUCUGCAUUGGGUUCUUUAAUGUAUGCUAUGCUAUUUACAAGACCUGAUAUUUGCCAUGCCGUGGGUUUGUUGAGUAGAUAUCAAGUGAACCCUGGAUCUGAGCAUUGA